rnacentral:rRNA from 1 species
GUAGGUGGCAAGCGUUGUCCGGGAAUUAUUGGGGCGUAAAGCGCGCGCAGGCGGUCCUUUAAGGUCUGAUGUGAAAGCCCACGGGCUCAACCGUGGAGGGUCAUUGGAAACUGAGGGACUUGAGUACAGAAGAGGAAAGCGGAAUUCCACGUGUAGCGGUGAAAUGCGUAGAGAUGUGGAGGAACACCAGUGGCGAAGGCGGCUUUCUGGUCUGUAACUGACGCUGAGGCGCGAAAGCGUGGGGAGCAAACAGGAUUAGAUACCCUGGUAGUCCACGCCGUAGACGAUGAGUGCUAAGUGUUAGGGGGUUUCCGCCCCUUAGUGCUGCAGCUAACGCAUUAAGCACUCCGCCUGGGGAGUACGACCGCAAGGUUG